rnacentral:tRNA from 1 species
GGGUUGCUAACUCAACGGUAGAGUACUCGGCUUUUAAACAAGUAAAAUUUCUACUCCAUCCGACUAGUUCCGGG